GGAGACUUAAUGAUAGAGUUGUAUAACUAUAAAAAAGUUUGUGAAACAAUGUAUAGUAAACCAAAAAGGAAAACGGCUCAGGUGUUAGUUGUAGGCGGGGCCUCAGACGACAGCUUGGUCCACUAAUCGCAAAAGCAAUUAAUUUUAUUUUCUUAAACAAACAAACAAUUUGGUAAAUAUAUAACAUAAAAAUAUGAAUUGGUUUUAAAAAUUGAGGAUGUUUUAUUCUUAAUAACGUCACUGGCACGCGGGAAGUAUCCUGUUUGAGGCCUACUCGAUUAUUUAGUUUAUUAUUUAGUAGCAUUUAGGCACAAAGACACAAUUUUCUAUGAUAGUCGGAUAAAUGUUGAAGUAAGAAGAUGAAAAUACCAAAAAAUGACGCUUUCUUCAGUUUCACUGUGGAAAGACCGCGGAGUGAAGUAUACACAGCAUGGUUUCUGUGGAUGGCCUGCGUGUCUUCAGCAGCGGCAGAAUCCUCUGAGGAACUGGCCUGACUCAUCUGCAUCUGUGACAGGUCAUGUCCAUGAGCUGGAGUGGAUAACCCGAAGCGCCCAAACCGGCCCACUAACACUCAAAUCUAUGUUUAAAGAUGCUGUCAGGUUUAAGAUGGAAAGGAAUCGCAUGGAAAAGUUGCUACCAAGUAAUUUCAGUGCAAGAAACAUUGUUUUGAAUCACCUGUGAUGAUGUGAUAAUGUGAAGGAAUAUCUGUAUUGUAUAAUAGGCUACCACUCAAAAGUUUGGAGUUAGUAAGGUUUUUUUUUUUUUUUUAAUAAAUGUUUUUGAAAUAAGUCUUUUAUGCA
ensembl:lncRNA